ACUCCUAUAGUUUUUUCUUCAAAGUUUAAAAGAAUUAUGGAUGAAAUGAUUCAAAUUAAUUCACAACAUUCAAUAGAGGAAGAUUACAAGGUAUUUUUUUGAUUAUACUGCAAAUAUUAACUUUAAGACAGUACAAAAUACCUUUAAUAAAUAAUAGUACAAAUGAAGAGUUAGUGCAUGUAGGGGUUACGACAACGACAGUGGAGAAACAUAUGGAAGAGCACAAAAAAGAUAUUGCGCAAGCUAACCUCAAUACAGCAUUAGCAUGUCGAGCCUAUGAUAGAGAUAUCACUAUAAAAUGGGAUGAGAUUAAGUGUAUUAGGCAAUUGAGAAAAACAGGAGCAACCAGCUAUACCAGAAUCCUUGGAAAUUUUGAAAAGAUCGGAGAGAGAAAAACUCAUUAAUGAUAGGCUAGCAUGGGAGCCACCUGUAGCAUGGAGAUAUGCGCUGGAGAAAAAUGAAUCAGAGUAGCAGGAACGUACACGGAAAAAGGAGGCGCUUGGAGGGAGAUAAUUUGAAAAUUAUAAUUAAGGAUUUAAGGACUUUAUAGUGUUUAUUUAUUUAAGGACUCUCAUACCAAUGUUAAAUUAAAUUAAAUUAAGCUAGUUUUAGUUUGAGUUAAUUGUUAAAAUACGGUUUAAAAUAAUUUGAAUAGUUUGGGUUUAUGAUUUUUGUAUCCCUGCAACCACUAAGAUUGUUAUGGUAACUUGUUAUUUAAAUUGUUCCAUUCUGUUUUAUUCUAUAUUUGUGUUCAUUGAAAUUAGCCUGAAGAGGAUGCAAUGUAGCAUCAAAAACAUUCAAAAAAUAGAGUGUUAUUUGAAGCUCUAUUUGAAGUUUGUUACAAGGUAUGUUAGUGAAAAGGAAUCUGUGAUUUUAGUGGAAACUUUAGCAGCUGCAGACAAGUUUUGAACACAAAUGAGGAUACUUAUCCAAAAUUUUUCAGCAAAUGUAGUAGUAAAUAUGGAUCAAAUUGGAUAUUAUCUGCUGAUAUAUGGCAGAACUCUAGCUGCAAAGAAUUC
rnacentral:lncRNA from 1 species